AGCAGCCGCGGUAAUUCCAGCUCCAAUAGCGUAUAUUAAAGUUGUUGCAGUUAAAAAGCUCGUAGUUGAAUUUCGAGAUCAAUAUGUUGGUCGUGCCUCGGUACGUACUUGCAUCAUUGAUUUCUCCCUUCUGAUGAACCAUGAUGCCAUUAAUUUGGUGUCUUGGGGAAUCAGGACUGUUACUUUGAAAAAAUUAGAGUGUUUAAAGCAGGCUCACGCUUGAAUACAUUAGCAUGGAAUAAUGAAAUAGGACGUUUGAUUCUAUUUUGUUGGUUUCUAGGAUCGACGUAAUGAUUAAUAGGGAUAGUUGGGGGCAUUAGUAUUCAAUUGUCAGAGGUGAAAUUCUUGGAUUUUAUUGAAGACUAACUACUGCGAAAGCAUUUGCCAAGGAUGUUUUCAUUAAUCAAGAACGAAAGUUAGGGGAUCGAAGACGAUCAGAUACCGUCGUAG
rnacentral:rRNA from 1 species